GGCAGAGUGGCUAGAGCACUGGCAUGGGAAUCAGAAGGACCUGGGUUCUAAUCCCAGCUCUGCCA
rnacentral:tRNA from 1 species